rnacentral:rRNA from 1 species
AUGAACGCUGGCGGCGUGCCUAAUACAUGCAAGUCGAGCGAACAGACGAGGAGCUUGCUCCUCUGACGUUAGCGGCGGACGGGUGAGUAACACGUGGAUAACCUACCUAUAAGACUGGGAUAACUUCGGGAAACCGGAGCUAAUACCGGAUAAUAUAUUGAACCGCAUGGUUCAAUAGUGAAAGACGGUUUUGCUGUCACUUAUAGAUGGAUCCGCGCCGCAUUAGCUAGUUGGUAAGGUAACGGCUUACCAAGGCGACGAUGCGUAGCCGACCUGAGAGGGUGAUCGGCCACACUGGAACUGAGACACGGUCCAGACUCCUACGGGAGGCAGCAGUAGGGAAUCUUCCGCAAAGGGCGAAAGCCUGACGGAGCAACGCCGCGUGAGUGAUGAAGGUCCUCGGAUCGUAAAACUCUGUUAUUAGGGAAGAACAAAUGUGUAAGUAACUAUGCACGUCUUGACGGUACCUAAUCAGAAAGCCACGGCUAACUACGUG